UUUUGCAAAAUUAUAUAUUUUUAAUUUAUUACUUAAGAAGUCUUUGACAUCCAAACGUAAGUGACACUACAUGUACAAUACUGAAUUCUAAAUCUAAAAAUAUAAAUUUUGUUAUCUUAAGUAAUAUAUAUAUAUGUAUAUAAAUAUAUGUAUAUAUGUAUAUUAUUCUUUCCACCUCUGCUCUAGCUUGGUUCCUUGUAAUAAACCUGGCAUUUUAUACUAAAUAUUGUUGGCUCUGUGACAAAUUGCAUGUUGUGUUCCUAGAUCCUUCCAUGAGGAUGGCCUCCUGCACCCCAGAGCUGAGCGACCUCCUGUCAAAGGCCAUGAACCAGAUGACUAUAUUAUGUUUGCUAGUGAGACAGACGCCAUACUGUUCCACUCAAAGAUCUCCCAUCAGUUGUUUACCAGUAUGAAGACCAGCCAAGACCAACUGGGAGGUUUUGUUCAUGCUUUUUAUUGUGCAUUGUCAUGAUCUCUGCUUUGAUUUGUUAUGAAUCCAGGUCUCUUUUUAU